rnacentral:rRNA from 1 species
UUAAGCGACUAAGCGUACACGGUGGAUGCCCUGGCAGUCAGAGGCGAUGAAGGACGUGCUAAUCUGCGAUAAGCGUCGGUAAGGUGAUAUGAACCGUUAUAACCGGCGAUUUCCGAAUGGGGAAACCCAGUGUGUUUCGACACACUAUCAUUAACUGAAUCCAUAGGUUAAUGAGGCGAACCGGGGGAACUGAAACAUCUAAGUACCCCGAGGAAAAGAAAUCAACCGAGAUUCCCCCAGUAGCGGCGAGCGAACGGGGAGCAGCCCAGAGCCUGAAUCAGUGUGUGUGUUAGUGGAAGCGUCUGGAAAGGCGCGCGAUACAGGGUGACAGCCCCGUACACAAAAAUGCACAUGCUGUGAGCUCGAUGAGUAGGGCGGGACACGUGGUAUCCUGUCUGAAUAUGGGGGGACCAUCCUCCAAGGCUAAAUACUCCUGACUGACCGAUAGUGAACCAGUACCGUGAGGGAAAGGCGAAAAGAACCCCGGCGAGGGGAGUGAAAAAGAACCUGAAACCGUGUACGUACAAGCAGUGGGAGCACAGAGCAAUCUGUGUGACUGCGUACCUUUUGUAUAAUGGGUCAGCGACUUAUAUUCUGUAGCAAGGUUAACCGAAUAGGGGAGCCGAAGGGAAACCGAGUCUUAACUGGGCGUUAAGUUGCAGGGUAUAGACCCGAAACCCGGUGAUCUAGCCAUGGGCAGGUUGAAGGUUGGGUAACACUAACUGGAGGACCGAACCGACUAAUGUUGAAAAAUUAGCGGAUGACUUGUGGCUGGGGGUGAAAGGCCAAUCAAACCGGGAGAUAGCUGGUUCUCCCCGAAAGCUAUUUAGGUAGCGCCUCGUGAAUUCAUCUCCGGGGGUAGAGCACUGUUUCGGCAAGGGGGUCAUCCCGACUUACCAACCCGAUGCAAACUGCGAAUACCGGAGAAUGUUAUCACGGGAGACACACGGCGGGUGCUAACGUCCGUCGUGAAGAGGGAAACAACCCAGACCGCCAGCUAAGGUCCCAAAGUCAUGGUUAAGUGGGAAACGAUGUGGGAAGGCCCAGACAGCCAGGAUGUUGGCUUAGAAGCAGCCAUCAUUUAAAGAAAGCGUAAUAGCUCACUGGUCGAGUCGGCCUGCGCGGAAGAUGUAACGGGGCUAAACCAUGCACCGAAGCUGCGGCAGCGACGCUUAUGCGUUGUUGGGUAGGGGAGCGUUCUGUAAGCCUGCGAAGGUGUGCUGUGAGGCAUGCUGGAGGUAUCAGAAGUGCGAAUGCUGACAUAAGUAACGAUAAAGCGGGUGAAAAGCCCGCUCGCCGGAAGACCAAGGGUUCCUGUCCAACGUUAAUCGGGGCAGGGUGAGUCGACCCCUAAGGCGAGGCCGAAAGGCGUAGUCGAUGGGAAACAGGUUAAUAUUCCUGUACUUGGUGUUACUGCGAAGGGGGGACGGAGAAGGCUAUGUUGGCCGGGCGACGGUUGUCCCGGUUUAAGCGUGUAGGCUGGUUUUCCAGGCAAAUCCGGAAAAUCAAGGCUGAGGCGUGAUGACGAGGCACUACGGUGCUGAAGCAACAAAUGCCCUGCUUCCAGGAAAAGCCUCUAAGCAUCAGGUAACAUCAAAUCGUACCCCAAACCGACACAGGUGGUCAGGUAGAGAAUACCAAGGCGCUUGAGAGAACUCGGGUGAAGGAACUAGGCAAAAUGGUGCCGUAACUUCGGGAGAAGGCACGCUGAUAUGUAGGUGAAGUCCCUCGCGGAUGGAGCUGAAAUCAGUCGAAGAUACCAGCUGGCUGCAACUGUUUAUUAAAAACACAGCACUGUGCAAACACGAAAGUGGACGUAUACGGUGUGACGCCUGCCCGGUGCCGGAAGGUUAAUUGAUGGGGUUAGCGCAAGCGAAGCUCUUGAUCGAAGCCCCGGUAAACGGCGGCCGUAACUAUAACGGUCCUAAGGUAGCGAAAUUCCUUGUCGGGU